UACGGAGGGUGCAAGCGUUAUCCGGAUUUACUGGGUUUAAAGGGUGCGCAGGCGGAUAUGUAAGUCAGUGGUGAAAUCUUCCCGCUUAACGGGAAAACUGCCGUUGAUACUAUAUAUCUUGAAUGCUGUGGAGGUAAGCAGAAUAUGUCAUGUAGCGGUGAAAUGCUUAGAGAUGACAUAGAAUACCGAUUGCGAAGGCAGCUACUACACAGAUAUUGACGCUCAUGCACGAAAGCGUGGGGAUCAAACAGG
rnacentral:rRNA from 1 species